rnacentral:rRNA from 1 species
CGGAGCAACGCCGCGUGAGCGAUGAAGGCCUUCGGGUCGUAAAGCUCUGUUGUUAGGGAAGAACAAGUACCGUUCGAAUAGGGCGGUACCUUGACGGUACCUAACCAGAAAGCCACGGCUAACUACGUGCCAGCAGCCGCGGUAAUACGUAGGUGGCAAGCGUUGUCCGGAAUUAUUGGGCGUAAAGCGCGCGCAGGCGGUUCCUUAAGUCUGAUGUGAAAGCCCACGGCUCAACCGUGGAGGGUCAUUGGAAACUGGGGAACUUGAGUGCAGAAGAGGAAAGCGGAAUUCCACGUGUAGCGGUGAAAUGCGUAGAGAUGUGGAGGAACACCAGUGGCGAAGGCGGCUUUCUGGUCUGUAACUGACGCUGAGGCGCGAAAGCGUGGGGAGCAAACAGGAUUAGAUACCCUGGUAGUCCACGCCGUAAACGAUGAGUGCUAAGUGUUAGGGGGUUUCCGCCCCUUAGUGCUGCAGCUAACGCAUUAAGCACUCCGCCUGGGGAGUACGGCCGCAAGGCUG